rnacentral:pre_miRNA from 1 species
UUUGAGAGGAAUGUUGUCUGGUACGUGGCAGUUAUAUUCUAAUCGUCUCACACUCCAUGAAUGAGUGUUGAUGAUGAUUAAUGAGUAUGAAGGCGUCGGACCAGGCUUCAUUCCUGUCAAA